rnacentral:tRNA from 1 species
GCAGACAUGGGGUAAAGGUAUCCCAACAGAUUGCUAAUCUGUCCAGCACAUAAGUGCUGCGAAGGUUCGAGUCCUUCUGUCUGCG